GUGGGCUGGUCUCUGGGGAACUGGCAGCAGCUAUGGACUGUCUACCACCAAGGAGCUUCUUGAGGCUGUCCUCUUUGAUAUUCGGAUGGAAAUAUGUUCAUUCAGCUGGUGAGGUGUAAAACAGAAGAUAAUGAUAUGCAGAAUACAACCAAGUUGUAGUGACUUUACUUUGAAUUGCACAAGUAGUGGAAUCUCUUCCCCAGAGUUAACUGGAAUAGCCAUGUGGGGAUGCCCUCUAAACAAGGUAAG